CCUACGGGUGGCAGCAGUGAGGAAUAUUGGUCAAUGGGCGAGAGCCUGAACCAGCCAAGUCGCGUGAGGGAGUACUGCCCUAUGGGUUGUAAACCUCUUUUGUCGGGGAGCAAAAGCCGGACGUGUCCGGCUGUGAGAGUACCCGAAGAAAAAGCAUCGGCCAACCUCGUGCCAGCAGCCGCGGUAAUACGGGGGAUGCGAGUUUUAUCCGGAUUUAUUGGGUUUAAAGGGGGCGCAGGGGGAUUUUUAAGUCAGCGGGAAAAUCGUGGGGCUCAACCCCAUCCAGCCGUUGAAACUGGGGAUCUAGAGUGUGCGAGAGGUAUGCGGAAUGCGUGGUGUAGCGGUGAAAUGCAUAGAUAUCACGCAGAACCCCGAUUGCGAAGGCAGCAUACCGGUGCACAACUGACGCUCAGGCACGAAAGCGUGGGUAUCGAACAGGAUUAGAUACCCUGGUAGUC
rnacentral:rRNA from 1 species